GUCUUAAUGAAUUAUAUAUUAAGUCUAAUCUGCCCACUGAAAUUUUAAAUGGCUGCAGUAUUAAUAACUGUACAAAGGUAGCAUAAUAAUUUGUUUUUUAAUUGAAAACUAGUAUGAAAGAUUGAAUGAGAUAUAAACUGUUUCAAUUAAUAGUAUUAAAUUUUUUAUUUGAGUAAAAAAACUUAAAUAAAUUUUAAAGACGAUAAGACCCUAUAGAAUUUGAUUUUUAUUUAUUUAUUUUAAAUAAUUAAAAAUUUAGUUGGGGUAAUAGAAAAAUUUAAAUAAUUUUUUUUUAAAAAAAUAUUUAUAAAUAGAUAAAAUAUCUUAAUUAUGAAUUAGAAAAAUUAAUUACCUUAGGGAUAACAGCAUAAUUUUUUUUGAAAGAUCAUAUUGAUAGAAAAGAUUAU
rnacentral:rRNA from 1 species